UACGAAGGGUGCAAGCGUUGCUCGGAAUUAUUGGGCGUAAAGCGCACGUAGGCGGCUUUGCAAGUCGGAUGUGAAAUCCCUCGGCUCAACCAAGGAAGUGCAUCCGAAACUGCAGAGCUUGAGUACCAAAGAGGAUCGCGGAAUUCCCGGUGUAGAGGUGAAAUUCGUAGAUAUCGGGAGGAACACCGGUGGCGAAGGCGGCGACCUGGGUCGAUACUGACGCUGAGGCGCGAAAGCCAGGGGAGCAAACGGG
rnacentral:rRNA from 1 species